rnacentral:lncRNA from 1 species
AAUUUCCUCUCAAAAAGGUACAAGCUGAAUGAGUCCACCCUAUUUCAUAUACAAGAAGGCUGGAAGGGCAGCAGCCAGGAGCCUGCCUACAUGCCUGGCAGCACCUUUUAGUGACCACAGCUGCAGACCAGGACUUCCUGCAGGGCUGGGAAUGGCAGAGGCAGAAAAAGUUAAUGUCUGGAGGUGGUGGCUUCCCGCACGCAGGCAGCAGCUGUGCCCGGUCUCUCCAAUGCUGGGGUGCCCUUCCAGCUUACUGCUGACCCACCUUGCACUGCAGAGCUUGCAGCCUUGUCAGGGCACAUCUCGAGGCCAGCUCCCAGCAGCUGCCUGUCCUUCGUUAUUUUAGGAGUUUGGCAGCUGGCUUGCUCCAUCCUUCCCCUGGAGACCAGGAAAUGCAGAAUGUCUUUCCCAGGCUAAGCAGAAGCAGAUAUACUGUAGCAGUGCAAGGAGAUAGAUUUAUAUAAUUUCAAAGAACAAAACACGAAGAAAGAACCUUUGAAAUAAA